CGCGUAGGUGGUAGUGCAAGUCUGGGGUGGAAUCUUAGGGCUUAACCCUAAAACUGCCUUGGAAACUGCAUUACUUGAGUCAGUGAGGGGAGGGUAGAAUUCCUGGUGUAGCGGUGAAAUGCGUAGAUAUCAGGAGGAAGGCCUGUGGCGAAGGCGGCCCUCUGGCGCUGAACUGACACUGAGGCGCGAAAGCGUGGGGUAGCAAACAGGAUUAGAUACCCUGGUAGUCCACGCCCUAAACGGUGGGUACUAGGUGUAGGGCUCGUAAGGGUUCUGUGCCGAAGGGAAACCAUUAAGUACCCCGCCUGGGGAGUACGGCCGCAAGGUUGA
rnacentral:rRNA from 1 species